GGGUUAAUCACUACGCAUCCUGUAUCAUUAGAGAAAUGAGAUAUCACAUAAGAGAGCAUAAGAUGCAACGAUAGACUCAGAAUAGUGGGAUUACUACAAUAGGAUGUGAAGGAGAAGAAGAGAUUCAUUAUUAUGGUGUACUGGCAGAUAUCAUAGAACUGAAGUAUGGAUCCAGUAAUUUUAUAUUCUUAUUUCAGUAUGAAUGAUGGGAUAUUAGUAAUAAAAAGAUUGG
rnacentral:lncRNA from 1 species